GUGGUUCUAAGAUGCUUGAAAGGUAAAUGCUCAGGCUGUGGUUCUAAGAUGUUUAUAAGCUUCAUUCCCAGGCUGUGGUUCUAAGAUGUUUGAAAGCUAAAUUAUCAGGCUGUGGUUCUGUGUUUGAAAGCUAAAUUAUCAGGAUGUGGUUCUAAGAUGUUUGAAAGCUAAAUUAUCAGGUUGUGGUUCAGUCUGGUGUGCACUGUAUUACCUACUGUAUUACCGAGUCCUUUGGCCCUCAAGACUCUCGUUUCCUGGUGGGAAAACCACUUCCUGUACGUUAGAGAAUGACUUCCUGUGUCAGAUAUGCUGCUUGUCUAGAAGGUCGUGAGAGAAUAAUAACUGACACCGCAGGCCCGGUCCAGUGGUAAAGUCUCUGGUAGUUUUAUUUUCUAUGUACACAUCCCCCCACCGUCCCCCAUGAAAGCAAACAUAGUCAUCAUACGGAGGAUGAAUACUUGAAUCUUGUUUUUGUAAGUGACAGCUUCUGUACAAGAUCAUGGAUUUAACAUCUACAUCAGCAACACCAUUUUCAUAGUCCGAGGAGCCGAGAACAAGCAUAUAUGUGGCAGGGAGAGAGGGGGGCGGGGUCAGGGGGUCACAGGGGGGUCAGGGAGAGAGGGGGUGGGGUCAGGGGUCGUGGGGUCAGAGAGAGAGGGGUCAGGGGUCGUGGGGUCACAGACAGGUGUAUGCUUAGGGCAGAUACACGGACGGCUCCAUCGGCAUAAAGUAUGUACAAUACAAACCAUUCAUACAAAUUAGGCGCUAAGAUAUAGAAGUCAUUACAUUAGAGUUUGUGGGUAAAUGAGUGAGGGGAGUGAGUGCUGGCGCCCCCCCCCCCCGGGUUUGGAAACUACAGGAGAUGGGAGCGUCCAGGGGCCUACAGCACUGCAGCGCUGGCACGUACCAAAUCAGGCCUUACCGGGUAGAACCUGCACGUGGCAAAAUGCUCUUUAUAAUCACACCAUUGCCUGUGUGUAAGGCUGUCUAAUGUUGACUGGGUGGCGUGAGUGGGAGCACUCUGGUGACGAGGCCGCCUAUCUUUGGGUCGCCUGUAAAUCUUACGAGUCUCUGCGCCAGGGAGAUCUCACGCCUGUGAAUCUCACGAGUCUCUGCGCCAGGGAAAUCUCACGCCGCCAGAGAGGCCACUCUCAAAAGCGUCAUGAUCCAACACACACUUCUUUAUUUAUUUAUUUAUAUAUCUCUUAUUUUUUUACAUUUAUGAUUUUUAAGAUCAGCAUUGUUGAAAUGUCAGAUCAGAUAUUAGCCGCUCAAACUAGGGGUACCACUGAGGCUGAGAAAUAAGCAUUAUUUUUGUGUGUGUGUGGUGUGUGUGUGUGUGUGUGUGUGUGUGUGUGAGCACUUUAUCAUCUACUGAGGCGCUACGAGAACAGAAAAGGAAACAAAGUUACCAUCAAAAUAAAACGCGCGGGCUGUAAACAACUAAAAGCUGUAAACACUAGUAGAAACAAAAGGAAACAAAACGAGAAAACAGGGAGUUAAUUCCAUCGUAAACGAGUUUAAGCUGAUGUCGUAAACAAACGAGUGGUUAGAAUGGCUGAUGUCAUAAACAAACAAAUUGUUAGAAUGGCUGAUGUCAUUAACAAACAAAUUGUUAGAAUGGCUGACGUCAUAAACAAACAAAUUGUUAGAAUGGCUGAUGUCAUUAACAAACAAAUUGUUAGAAAAGGCUGACGUAAACUCCAGAUAUCAGGGACUUACAGUCCCACUAUUAUUUCUACGAGGUAACAAUACAAUACAACAAACAAUAAAUAAAUCAACAAAUACAUGAAUAAAUUAAUGUACCUUUCAUAAUAAAACAAGUCAACACGUUAACCUAAUUCUACACCAUCACUGUGUUCCUUCGGACGGAGCAUAACUUCACACCGCUUUCGCAAAAUUACAUAAUUUUAACAUUUUAGCUCCCGGGACAGUUCGUGUCUGAAUCUUUUUAGCAGAAGUUUACCAAUAUUCAAUCGAGACCGAUCAGGAUGUGUUCAGGACAGUAGAGAUGAACUUCAGUUGGAUGGGAGG
ensembl:lncRNA